CGGAAAUGUAAUAAAAUAGAUGUUAGUAAACGGUUUGAGUGUGAAUGUGACUGUUAUUUUAGUUUUUUAGAAGGGUACGUCGGUUUAAAGUUUCAUUUUAACAUUGAAUUAAGGCUUGUACUUUGCAUAGUAUAACAGCAAUCUAUUACUGCAAGUAGUUUUGUUAUUGCGACCUUUUUACAUCAGCCACAUGUGUUCUAUUUUCUGAGUUGUAAGGUGUGUAUUUAUUUAGAUAGUUAAAUGUCGAAGUCUUCGUUAUUUUCGUUGAACCAAGUACUAAAAAAAUGUUUUCAAAACUUGGAGAACAAUCAAAAGGUAUGGAAUUCAGUGUUAGGUGAAUGCACGCCUUUGAUGGGUUCUCUUGGAAACCUCGUAGACCAGUUAAGAGCGCUUGAAAAAGUCAAAAUCGUCAACACCCCGCUUCACACCUUUCCCGAUCUGCAGGAGCGUCUUAAUUUCAAGCUCCUACAGGCAUUGGACAUCGUUUUGGUCAAACUCGCUGACAAACUGUGUUCUCUCCAGCAAGUGCGAGAUGCUGUCAGUAAUCAGGUGUCCGGCGCAUUCCAGUUGUAUGAGCAGAAUAUCGACACCCUUGACCUAGCCACCUGCACCCAGCGGUCCGCCAUUGCACCAUCCAUCGCUGAUAUGUUGGAGUGGCUUAAGGAUGCGGAGCGUUACUAUCGGCAACAGUAUCUUUUGUGUUUCACUAACUAUAUCCAGGUUCCUCAGGAGAAAGAAUGUGCUUCAGAUGCUGAGGCCUGAAGAUCUUUACCUUCUAGAAGCUGUACCCAAGAGAUGGGAGUCCCUGGAAUCCCCCAGCGGGGAGGAGCGCCUCUCAGAAACACUGUCUACAGUGUCUUUGUUCAUGGAAUCUCAGUGAAAUGAGAACUUCAAGCAAGAAGAGUAAACGCUGGAUGUCAUGGUCUACAGCACUCAAUAAUGGGUUGAACGCGUUGACAUUGUCUUUGGAUGUACAGCCCUGGUGCAGAACACACAGCUGGGAUGAAUUCACUCAAAACCAAACAGAAGCACACAUUAGAAUUUUCUUUGUUCCAGACUGGACUAGAUGUUAACAAAGUAGAGAUUGUGACAUCCUGAGACGUAGUCAAAUGGAUGGACAGGUUACGGCAGAAACCUCCCAACAGCAAGGACCUCAUAAAGAACCAGACUUCCAAUGACUGUUUAUCAGGUUUUUCAUAUAACAUAUUUAGAAAUUCCAGUGUCAUGAAAGAAAGAAUAAACAGAAUGUUGUAGAAUUAUGUUUUGUACAAAAUAUAAUUCCAGCUAUAUCCAUCUGCCAUCUUUUACGCUUGCAUUAGCAGUAAAAAGCUUGCACUAUCUGACCUGAAACAUUAAAUUAAUUCUGUUUAAAUAA